GCAACAGUAAUAAUUCUACGCACUUCCUCCCGCACAACUGUCGCAUUGCUCUGUAGCAAUCCGUUAGUAAGCCGUCCGAUUUUAAUGUCUUGCUUUGCCGCUUGAACAGCCUGUAUUUGUAGCUGUGACUUUUAUGUCAAGGGGAAAAUUUUUUGCGGAAAUUGGGAGGGAGAAUUUUCAAAAUCAAGCCACUUGGUUUUUAUUUAUAUUUAUUCUUGCGACAGACACAGCCACUUGAACGCGUAAAAAAUUUAAAUUGUAAUUUCUACCUAUUAACUUUUGAAGUUCAUUAAAAAGAUUUCAAAUUCGUAGCUUUUUCUCCAUUCUUCCAGCUAUACAAAUAUAUGCCCAUAGUUUGGCGUAAUUUGCUAGCAACGCUUCCGCCUAUAUGUUUAUCAUUUCGAGCUUACAAAUACAGGGGCAUGCUAAUAUAAGUGUAUGAUAUGCCGAACUGAAUAUUUCAGCACAUCAAUCGAUUCGAAAGUUUUGUCUGGGGUCUCAGUAAUUAAAAACUAAAAAUAAAAAACAAUAGGCGAUGUAUGUAAUAUUUUUGUUAAUAUUUUCAUUUUCAAAAGCAAGUAUCAAGACCACUCUCCAGAGUACUUAGGAGGCUCUUCGGGAAUUUUGGGUUAUGUAGUAUUUUCGACUCACUUUGCGUUAGUUGAUGGUGACGAUGGAUACAAAAUUCAUGGACGCGUGAGAGGAAGAGCUUCCCAAAUACGAUGACAGUAAAAUCGAAGUAGAUGUAAUGCUACAUAGCUACACAUAAGGUAGUUAUGUGCGGUCGAAUGCCUCAUUUGCUCAUCCGGCCGACUUCUUCGUGCAGCCUCAAUUAUUUGCUUCCUGCGACAAUUUUGUUAAUUUUGCAAAAACUAAAAAUAACACAUAAAAAACUA